rfam:Felis catus isolate Cinnamon breed Abyssinian chromosome E1, whole genome shotgun sequence.
GCCUGGGUGGCUCAGUUGGUUGAGCGUCUGACUUCGGCUCAGGUCACGAUCUCACGGUCCGUGAGUCCGAGCCCCGUGUCAGGCG